rnacentral:rRNA from 1 species
AUUGAACGCUGGCGGCAUGCUUUACACAUGCAAGUCGAACGGUAACAGGCCGCUAGGUGCUGACGAGUGGCGUACGGGUGCGUAAUGCAUCGGAACGUGCCCAGUCGUUGGGGAUAACUACUCGAAAGAGUAGCUAAUACCGCAUACGAUCUAUGGAUGAAAGCGGGGGACCGUAAUGCCUCGCUCGUUUGUUGCUUUCUAUGUUAGAUUAGGUAGUUGGUUGGGUAAAUGCUCACCAAGCCAACGAUCUGUAGCUGGUCUGAGAGGACAACCAGCCACACUGGGACUGAGACACGGCCCAGACUCCUACGGGAGGCAGCAGUGGGGAAUAUUGGAAAAUGGGAGAAAGCAUGAACCAGCAAAGCCGCGUGCAGGAAGAAGGCCUUCGGGUUGUAAACUGCUUUUGUACGGAACGAAAAGGCACUGGUUAAUACACGGGGCUAAUGACGGUAACGUAAGAAUAAGCACCGGCUAACUACGUG